GCCGGGGUGGCCGAGCGGUCUAAGGCGGCGGGCCGCAGUGGUAUUAGUUGACACCCGUUAUUUCGCGGGUUCGAAUCCCGCCCCCGGCU
rnacentral:tRNA from 2 species